rnacentral:rRNA from 1 species
ACUUUGAAAAAAUUAGAGUGCUCAAAGCAGGCAGCCUCGCCUGAAUAAUGGUGCAUGGAAUAAUGGAAUAGGACCUCGGUUCUAUUUUGUUGGUUUUCGGAACACGAGGUAAUGAUUAAGAGGGACAGACGGGGGCAUUCGUAUUGCGACGCUAGAGGUGAAAUUCUUGGACCGCCGCACGACGAACUACUGCGAAAGCAUUUGCCAAGAAUGUUUCCAUUAAUCAAGAACGAAAGUCAGAGGUUCGAAGGCGAUCAGAUACCGCCCUAGUUCUGACCAUAAACGAUGCCAGCCAGCGAUCCGGCUGCGUUCCUCAAAUGACGCGCCGGGCAGCUUCCGGGAAACCAAAGCUUUUGGGUUCCGGGGGGAGUAUGGUUGCAAAGCUGAAACUUAAAGGAAUUGACGGAAGCGCACACAAGAAAUGGGGCCUGCGGCUUAAUUUGACUCAACACGGUGCAACUCACCCGGCCCGGACACAGGAAGGAUUGACAGAUUAAGAGCUCUUUCUUGAUUCUGUGACAGGUGGUGCAUGGCCGUUUCUAGUUGGUGGAGUGAUUUGUCUGCUUUAUUGCGAUAACGAGCGAGACUCUAGCCUACUAAAUAGACUCUCCGUCUUCUUUCGCGGAGAGGUCUUCUUAGAGGGACAAGCGGUGUUCAGCCGCACGAAACUGAGCAAAAACAGGUCAGGAUGCCCUUAGAUGUUCGGGGCCGCACGCGCGCCACAUUGAAGGAAUCAGCGUGUGCUUUCCCUCUCCGAUAGGAGUGGGUAACCCGUUGAAACUCCUUCGUGCUAGGGAUAGGAAAUUGUAAUUGUUUUCCUUGAACGAGGAAUUCCCAGUAAGCAUUGAGUCAUCAGCUCGUGUUGAUUACGUCCCUGCGCUUUGUGCACACCGCCCGUCGCUAUUAUCGAUGAAUUUUGGAGUGAGAUCAU